rnacentral:tRNA from 2 species
GGGAGGAUACCAAAGUGGUCUAAUGGGCCGGCCUCAAGCUCCGGUGCUUCGGCGCGUGGGUUCGAAUCCCACUUCUCUCA